AAUCAACGCUGGCGGCGUGCCUAACACAUGCAAGUCGAACGCGAAAGUCCCGAAAGGGAUCAGUAGAGUGGCAAACGGGUGAGUAACGCGUGGGUGACCUGCCUUCGAGCGGGGGAUAACGCUCCGAAAGGGACGCUAAUACCGCAUGACAUCCUGCCUUUGAAGAGGUGGAGAUCAAAGCCGGGGAUCGCAAGACCUGGCACUCGAAGAGGGGCCCGCGUCUGAUUAGCUAGUUGGUGAGGUAACGGCUUACCAAGGCAACGAUCAGUA
rnacentral:rRNA from 1 species